rnacentral:rRNA from 1 species
GCCCUUAGAGUUUGAUCCUGGCUCAGGAUGAACGCUGGCGGCGUGCCUAAUACAUGCAAGUCGAACGAGGGAUUCCGGAUCUUCGGAACCGGGAUUUCCUAGUGGCGAACGGGUGAGUAACGCGUUGGUGACCUGCCCCGAAGAGGGGGAUAACAGUUCGAAAGGACUGCUAAUACCCCAUGAGCUCACGAGAGUUAGAGGUCUGGUGAGGAAAAGGAGUAAUUCGCUUCGGGAGGGGCCUGCGUCCCAUCAGCUAGUUGGUAGGGUAAAGGCCUACCAAGGCGAUGACGGGUAGGGGACCUGAGAGGGUGGCCCCCCACAAUGGAACUGAAACACGGUCCAUACACCUACGGGUGGCAGCAGUAGGGAAUAUUGCUUAAUGGGCGAAAGCCUGAAGCAGCAACGCCGCGUGUGCGAUGACGGCCUUCGGGUUGUAAAGCACUUUUUGUAGGGAUGAGGAAGGACAGUACCUGCAGAAUAAGUCUCGGCUAACUACGUGCCAGCAGCCGCGGUAAAACGUAGGAGGCGAGCGUUAUCCGGAUUUACUGGGCGUAAAGCGCGUGUAGGCGGAUUGAUAAGUUGGCUGUGAAAGCUCCUGGCUUAACUGGGAGAGGUCGGUCAAUACUGUCAGUCUAGAGUAUGUGAGAGGGAGGUGGAAUUCCGGGUGUAGUGGUGAAAUGCGUAGAUAUCCGGAGGAACACCAGAGGCGAAAGCGGCCUCCUGGCACAUAACUGACGCUCAGACGCGAAAGCUAGGGUAGCAAACGGGAUUAGAGACCCCGGUAGUCCUAGCUGUAAACGAUGUAGACUUGGCGUUGGUGGGGUCAAACCCAUCAGUGCCGGAGCAAACGCGUUAAGUCUACCGCCUGGGGACUACGGCCGCAAGGUUAAAACUCAAAGGAAUUGACGGGGACCCGCACAAGCAGCGGAGCGUGUGGUUUAAUUCGAUGCAACACGAAGAACCUUACCCGGGCUUGACAUGCGAGUGGUAGGGAAGUGAAAGCGGACCGACCCUUCGGGGAGUUCGCACAGGUGCUGCAUGGCUGUCGUCAGCUCGUGCCGUGAGGUGUCCGGUUAAGUCCGGUAACGAGCGCAACCCUUGCUGUAUGUUACAAGUGUCAUACAGGACUGCCGGUAUAAAGCCGGAGGAAGGUGGGGAUGACGUCAAGUCAGCAUGGCCUUUAUGUCCGGGGCUACACACACGCUACAAUGGUCAGUACAAUAGGUUGCAAAACUGCGAAGUGGAGCCAAUCCCUAAAGCUGGCCACAGUUCAGAUUGCAGGCUGCAACUCGCCUGCAUGAAGUCGGAGUUGCUAGUAACCGCGCGUCAGCAAUAGUGCGG